rnacentral:rRNA from 1 species
GACGAACGCUGGCGGCGUGCUUAACACAUGCAAGUCGAACGGAAAGGCCCUGCUUUUGUGGGGUGCUCGAGUGGCGAACGGGUGAGUAACACGUGAGUAACCUGCCCUUGACUUUGGGAUAACUUCAGGAAACUGGGGCUAAUACCGGAUAGGAGCUCCUGCUGCAUGGUGGGGGUUGGAAAGUUUCGGCGGUUGGGGCUGGGCUCGCGGCUUAUCAGCUUGUUGGUGGGGUAGUGGCUUACCAGGGCUGUGACGGGUAGCCGGCCUGAGAGGGUGACCGGGCACAAUGGGACUGAGAUACGGCCCAGACGCCUACGGGAGGCAGCAGGCGGGAGUCUUGCACAAUGGGCGGAAGCCUGAUGCAGCAACGCCGCGUGCGGGAUGACGGCCUUCGGGUUGUAAACCGCUUUCGCCUGUGACGAAGCGGGAGUGACGGUAAUGGGUAAAGAAGCACCGGCUAACUACGUG